rnacentral:rRNA from 1 species
GAUGAACGCUGGCGGCGUGCCUAAUACAUGCCAGUCGAGCGAACAGACAAGGAGCUUGUUCUUCUGCCGUUGGCGGCGGACGGGUGGGUAAGACGUGGAUAACCUACUUCUAAUACUGGGAUAACAUCGGGAAACCGGUGCUAAUACCACAUCAUAUAUUCAACGGCUGAGAUCAGUAGUUAAAGACAGCUUGGCCGUCUCUUAGAGAUGAUUUCGCGCCGCAUUAGCUAGUUGGUAAGGUAACGGCUCACCAAGGCAACGAUGCGUAGCGGAUCUGAGAGGGUGAUCAGCCACACUGGAACUGAGACACGGUCCAGACUCCUACGGGAGGCAGCAGUGGGGAAUAUUGGACAAUGGGCGAAAGCCUGACGGAGCAACGCCGCGUGGGUGAUGAAGGUCUUCGGAUCGUAAAGCCCUGUUGUUGGGAAAGAAAAGAUGUGGAAUUAAAUCUGCACGUUUUGACGGUACCUAAUCAGAAAGCAACGGCUAACUACGUG